rnacentral:rRNA from 1 species
UACGUAGGGUGCAAGCGUUAAUCGGAAUUACUGGGCGUAAAGCGUGCGCAGGCGGCUAUGUAAGACAGGUGUGAAAUCCCCGGGCUUAACCUGGGAACUGCAUUUGUGACUGCAUAGCUAGAGUACGGUAGAGGGGAUGGAAUUCCGCGUGUAGCAGUGAAAUGCGUAGAUAUGCGGAGGAACACCAAAGGCGAAGGCAGUGUCCUGGGGAGUACCUGACGCUCAGGUGCGAAAGCCAGGGGAGCGAACGGG